GGGCGGUUAACUCAGCGGUAGAGUGCCAUCCUCACACGGUGGAAGUCACUGGUUCAAAUCCAGUACCGCCCA
rnacentral:tRNA from 1 species